GCAUGAGGUUUGGACGCGUCCUCGCGCUCCUACUGUUUGCUCGCGCGCGCGUGCGUGGAAGAGCGAUUUCAAAUACAAAGAAGUAACGGCUCCAUUCCUCAAAGAGAGUAAGAAACAACCGCUGCGCAAGAAAAUCCAGUAUGACUUCUCUGAAAGUCUCAAAAGCUUCACAGAGCAGCAAUAUCAGUUAAUGAAGAAAUGUGGCUCUGUAGUGGACACCUGUGAGGCAGAGGACAGACAGCUGCUGAUGUCUGAUGCUGGCUGACAAUAAACAGACCUCUCUGGACGUACCCCAUCUUUCGCAGCCUACACAUAAUCUCAGAAUAGCUGUGGUAAUAACAGGAAACCCAUUAGAUGAGAGCGGCACUGCAGACUUUCCUGAUGGAGGAGAUCAUGGACAAUUUUCACAAGACUGAUGAUGUGUUUCAGCUGUGUUUGUAUCGUAAAUCCUCACAAUGUUUGUAUAUAUAUAUAUAUAUAUAUUUUUUUUUUUUUAAUUAUGUGCAUUUAUAACACUAUACUUUGUAUUAUAUCACAUUCAUAUCAAAUUACAGAAAAAAAUAGUUAAUGCUAAUGCAAGGGUGUUUCUAAUCCAAGAGUCUUUGGGAGGGAUGCUAAAUUUGACAUUGUUCUCUCUUCUGACUGCUGUUAUCAGUCUCUGUCAGAUUUUUUCCUUUGAUUGAAAGUUGUGAGAAUGCUAUUGUAGAGUUUUUCAUUUUGCUAUUUGAGUAAAUGAGAAUGCAAAAAUAUAUUUGUGAUACUCUCCCAUUCACUGCUCUCGAAGUUAACCCAACUAUAACAACUUAUGCUGCUGAGAAACUGGUUUAUUAAGCGAAAUACAGCUAUCUUGAGGCUUAUCAAUUUCUUGAAAUGUCCUGUGUGAAUUCUCCCAAUCAGUCACCACUAUUUAGAACAGAAAAUAAUAUGCUAAUUGCAUUGCUAUUGCUAUUAAUUGCAUUGUAUCUAAAAUUUAAAUCAUGGUUUAAGGUACAUAAAAUGUUUUUUAAAGUUCUAAGAUUGAGUCACAUUUAUUUGUUUCUAAUAUUACCAAGGUGUAAAUGCUUUUUUGUUGUUGUUGUUGUUUAUAGCAGUAUUAACACUGAUGUUGCCAUGAAUGGGAUUGUGAUGUGCAGUAUUGCGUUUAUGGAUAUUGUUGUUGUUUAUCAAUAAACUGUUUUAUACCAUUUGUUUUAUUUUUAAUCAUUAAAAAGGUCAAUAGCAGGACAAAUAAACCAGUGGGGGGCAUUAAAGAACUGAAAUUAGGGAAAUGGUGCCUUGAAGCACCCCAGGUGGUUCCUGGCCAUCAUAAUAAAAGGGUUCCUCAAGGAACCAUUGAAAGUUCCUCAGAGAACCACCCCCAUUUAGAGCGGUGCCUAGAGGCUCUUCAGACGGUUCCGCCGGUGUGGCGAAGUGAAGAACCCCAAAAGGUGCCUCCAGGAACAACUUUUUACAGUGUAGCAUAUGGAACAAGCAAUUUAGUCAUGCACCUUUUGUUUUAAGAGAUUCUGAAUUUAGAGAUGUACAAUACUCUUAAGAGAUAGUUACCCCCCCCCCACCC